rnacentral:misc_RNA from 1 species
UACGGAGCGUGCAAACGGUGCUCGGAAUCAUUGGGCGUAAAGCGCACGUAGGCGGCCUGACAAGUUGGAUGUGAAAGCCCUGGGCUCAACCCAGGAAGUGCAUCCAAAACUGUUAGGCUUGAGCACCGGAGGGGCUCAGAGAAUUCCCGGUGUAGCGGUGAAAUGCGUAGAUAUCGGGAGGAAUACCAGUGGCGAAGGCGCUGAGCUGGACGGUUACUGACGCUGAGGUGCGAAAGCGUGGGGAGCAAACAGG